rnacentral:rRNA from 1 species
CUUGAUAGCUAUAAGAGGUCCAGCCUGCCCAGUGAUAAAUUCAACGGCCGCGGUAUCCUAACCGUGCGAAGGUAGCAUAAUCACUUGUUCUUUAAAUAGGGACUCGUAUCAACGGCAUCACGAGGGUUACACUGUCUCCUCUUUCCAAUCAGUGAAACUGAUCUUCCCGUGAAGAAGCGGGAAUGAACUAAUAAGACGAGAAGACCCCAUGGAGCUUUAAACCUCACAGCAACUCUAACAUAUGUUUCCCCAUAACCCGCAGAGCAAUGCUAGUCGGUUUUAGGUUGGGGUGACCGCGGAGCAAAAACUACCCUCCACGACGAACAGAACUAAAUCUUUAUCCAAGAGCAACCACUCUAAGAACUAGCACACUAACGUAUCAUGACCCGAUAAUCCGAUCAACGGACCA